rnacentral:lncRNA from 1 species
GCCUACAUCCAGUGUGGAUGUUUACUACCAUAAACCUGCUUCAAGACUCAGAGCACCACCACAUAUUCUGAAAAAGAAUAUCUUUACCUGAAUUCACGGUGUUGUUGGGCAGAGAAGGAAAAUAUAACAGAUACAUUCUGAAGAGUUUAAACAGGAGUUCACAAAGAGUGGCAGUGAGAGCCAUCACACUGCAUUCAACUGGAAAAGGCUUGAAACACUUCAAAUGAUAACACAAUGGACUUGAGUAGGACAUCUUUUCAUCAAAUAUCCAAGAACAGCUUGGAGGAGUCCAGAGCUGCUGGCUGGCCUAUGGAGCAGAU